rnacentral:rRNA from 1 species
GACGAACGCUGGCGGCGUGCUUAACACAUGCAAGUCGAGCGGUGACCCACCUUCGGGUGGUGAUCAGCGGCGAACGGGUGAGUAACACGUGGGCAACCUGCCCCUAGCUCUGGGAUAACCCCGGGAAACCGGGGCGUAAUACCGGAUAUGACCUCGAGCGGCAUCUCUCGAGGUGGAAAGGUUUACUGGCUAGGGAGUGGGCCCGCGGCCUAUCAGCUUGUUGGUGGGGUAAUGCCUACCAAGGCGACGACGGGUAGCCGGCCUGAGAGGCGACCGGCCACACUGGGACGUGAGACACGGCCCAGACUCCUACGGGAGGCAGCAGUGGGGAAGUAUUGCGCAAUGGGCGAAAGCCUGACGCAGCGACGCCGCGUGAGGGACGAAGG